rnacentral:rRNA from 1 species
GUGGGGAAUUUUGGACAAUGGGGGCAACCCUGAUCCAGCCAUGCCGCGUGCGGGAAGAAGGCCUUCGGGUUGUAAACCGCUUUUGUCAGGGAAGAAAUCCUUUGGGUUAAUACCUCGGAGGGAUGACGGUACCUGAAGAAUAAGCACCGGCUAACUACGUGCCAGCAGCCGCGGUAAUACGUAGGGUGCGAGCGUUAAUCGGAAUUACUGGGCGUAAAGCGUGCGCAGGCGGUUUUGUAAGAUCGAUGUGAAAUCCCCGGGCUCAACCUGGGAACUGCAUUGGAGACUGCAAGGCUGGAGUGCGGCAGAGGGGGAUGGAAUUCCGCGUGUAGCAGUGAAAUGCGUAGAUAUGCGGAGGAACACCGAUGGCGAAGGCAAUCCCCUGGGCCUGCACUGACGCUCAUGCACGAAAGCGUGGGGAGCAAACAGGAUUAGAAACCCGUGUAGUCC